rnacentral:rRNA from 1 species
GACGAACGCUGGCGGCGUGCUUAACACAUGCAAGUCGAACGGUGAUGCUCCAGCUUGCUGGAUUGGAUCAGUGGCGAACGGGUGAGUAACACGUGAGCAACCUGCCCCUGACUCUGGAAUAAGCGCUGGAAACGGCGUCUAAUACUGGAUACGAAACUGGCCCGCAUGGGCAUGGUUUGGAAAGUUUUUCGGUUUGGGAUGGGCUCGCGGCCUAUCAGCUUGUUGGUGAGGUAAUGGCUCACCAAGGCGACGACGGGUAGCCGGCCUGAGAGGGCGACCGGCCACACUGGGACUGAGACACGGCCCAGACUCCUACGGGAGGCAGCAGUGGGGAAUAUUGCACAAUGGGCGAAAGCCUGAUGCAGCGACGCCGCGUGAGGGAUGACGGCCUUCGGGUUGUAAACCACUUUCAGCAGGGAAGAAGCGAAAGUGACGGUACCUGCAGAAGAAGCACCGGCUAACUACGUG